rnacentral:lncRNA from 1 species
GCCCCCAGCACUCUGCAGACAGAUCCUGAAUUUGUUCCCCUUUCGCAUGAGAGUUCACGUGUGUAAGUGGCAGAGCUGGGAUUCCGACUUUUGCCAAGUCACCUGAUGCUCAUUACCGCGACAUCGUGGCUCCCAACGCACAGGGCCCUGCCCUGGGGAGAGGCUGGGACAAAAGUGACCCUUGCCCUUCCGAAGCUCACACUCCAGUGUGUGUUGAGAAGAAUGUAGAUUUCACUCUUCUUUCUCGUGCCAUUGUUUUUAUGAAUACCAGUUAGGUGAGAAUACCAGUUCUAUGAAUACCAGUUACCUGGAGUGGUGUGUGGUUUUUGAGUUUGUGCCAGGACGUUUGUGGUUAUAUCUCUGGGACGUCAGCGGGUCUGAUCAUAUUGGUUUUCACGUUUUGUCUGGGAGUGCUAACACAAGAUUCUCUUUCUUCCCCUCAGGGGCGUGAACAAAGACACAGGAAGCGGUCCAAGCUGCUGAAAGUCCUUUUGGGACUGGGAGAGGAAAAGUUUGCUGACGUUAGAGUCAUCACCAAGCACACGGAGCAGAAAAGUGAAGAGAGAAGCCGGAUCCUGGUGACCUCACUGGGCUCCUGGAUCAUGCCUCACCUGAAGCAGAUCCAGCCCUGGAUUUUACAGUCACAAAAGUCAGUUUGAGUCAGGCGUCCAUUGGAAGACGGAGCUUACAGUUCAGGAGGCUGCGGGGGCCACGGUUGGUUUGGGAAAGUCUCUUCCGAGUCCCAGUUUGCCACGCGGUCUUUUCGUGACCUCUCUUCUCCAGGUCUCAGGUUCUUUAUCUGUAACAUGAGAAAUUCAGAUAGAAACAGCAGUAAUGAUGAGGAUGAUGGUCACGAUCACCACUUAUCAGGCAUGUUCUGCUUGCCACCUGCUCAUCUGCUCUGCUGAGGGGGUCGCAUAUUGCUUUAGAUCGCGGGCUUCCUGUUGUGUUGCCAGAAUUUGGAGAACUGGUCAGGUACCGCGCGCUGACCCGCCCUUGACGUUCAGAGGUCAGAAAGCGUCCCGAACAACGAUUUAGGCUUUGAAACGCAGCCCUGUGCCUGACAACUGUUGGACCACGGGCAAGUUACUUGACCUCUCUGAACCGCAGCUGUCAAAUGAGGAUCGGACUUGGUAGUUCCUGUCUCCCAGGGUGGUGGGCGAGACUCAGGAAGCCCGUGCGUGAGAAAUGCUUAGCACGGCGUCUGGCAUCCG